rnacentral:rRNA from 1 species
GUACGCUGGCGGCACGCCUAACACAUGCAAGUCGAACGCAGUAGCAAUACUGAGUGGCAGACGGGUGAGUAACAUGUGGGAAUCUGCCUUGUGGUUCAGGACAACAUUGGGAAACCGAUGCUAAUACUGGAUAAGCCCUUACGGGGAAAGUUUUAAUGCCAUAAGAUGAGCCCGCAUUUGAUUAGUUAGUUGGUGAGGUAAUGGCUCACCAAGACAAUGAUCAAUAGCUGAUCUGAGAGGAUGAUCAGCCACACUGGGACUGAGACACGGCCCAGACUCCUACGGGAGGCAGCAGUGGGGAAUCUUGCACAAUGGAGGAAACUCUGAUGCAGCGAUGCCGCGUGAGUGAAGAAGGCCUUUGGGUUGUAAAGCUCUUUUGUAGGGGAAGAUAAUGACUGUACCCUAAGAAUAAGGUCCGGCUAACUUCGUGCCAGCAGCCGCGGUAAUACGAAGGGACCUAGCGUAGUUCGGAAUUACUGGGCGUAAAGCGCGCGUAGGCCGUUGAGUUAGUUAAUUGUGAAAUCCCAAAGCUUAACUUUGGAACUGCAAUUAAAACUGCUCGACUAGAGUUUGAUAGAGGAAAGCGGAAUACAUAGUGUAGAGGUGAAAUUCGUAGAUAUUAUGUAGAACACCAGUUGCGAAGGCGGCUUUCUGGAUCAACACUGACGCUGAGGCGCGAAAGUAUGGGUAGCAAAGAGGAUUAGAUACCCUCGUAGUCCAUACCAUAAACGAUGAUUGCUAGAUGUUGGAAAUUUAUUUUCAGUAUCGCAGCUAACGCAUUAAGCAAUCCGCCUGGGGAGUACGACCGCAAG